rnacentral:misc_RNA from 1 species
CUAUCACUAUAAGACAAAAUAUUCAGACGAUAAAUCGUAUAGAAUGGUUUUAAAACUAUAUUUUGUUUUGUUUCAGGACAAACGGGUGAAUAGCAUCGAACAAUAUGCAGAAACUUAUUCUUCAAGUUUCAUUCGCCACUCGGCUCUCCUACUAAUUGAAGGCAUAACUCAAGAUCGAGAAGAAAACUCAUUUGUUAGCGAAGUUGGUUUGUGACCGUCACUAACGGGCAGUUUAAUUUUUGUUUGCUCGUUUUGAUGAUCGCAAAAUGAACUCGCUAUACGUUUUUCUACAAUUUCAACGAAAUAACUUGAAGACGACGUAAGAAGAACCAUCGUCAUUUUUUGAUACAUUUUUUUAAAUUAUUAUAUUUCACUUUUAGAUCUGUUGAAAUUUGAAUGAAUUAAUUAUAUUUUGUUUAUGUUUUAAUAUAAGAGUGAAAACGUUGUUGGCUUGUGUAAAACUUUAUACUUAAAUACUUUAAGGAACAAAAAACAGGCUAUAUUUAAUUCAAAAUUGAAAACCUUAUUUUUGGAACGAAGUUCCAUAAGGGGCGUGACAGAAGGGUACUCUAGCCGGCAAAAAACGUCGGCAACGUUAAAAAACGUAAGAUGUAUAGUCUAUGUAUGAUGGCUAUACAGUGUCUAAUGUAUAGUCUACGCUAUAACUGUUUUUAUUAUUGCAGUUUGCUAUGAUUAUUAUAUCAUUCGAUAAUUAGUAUAUAUUUUUAUAAAUCAUUGUAAAUAAAAUAAAGGUAUUGA